rnacentral:rRNA from 1 species
CUUGCUUCUCUUGAGAGCGGCGGACGGGUGAGUAAUGCCUAGGAAUCUGCCUGGUAGUGGGGGAUAACGUCCGGAAACGGACGCUAAUACCGCAUACGUCCUACGGGAGAAAGCAGGGGACCUUCGGGCCUUGCGCUAUCAGAUGAGCCUAGGUCGGAUUAGCUAGUUGGUGGGGUAAUGGCUCACCAAGGCGACGAUCCGUAACUGGUCUGAGAGGAUGAUCAGUCACACUGGAACUGAGACACGGUCCAGACUCCUACGGGAGGCAGCAGUGGGGAAUAUUGGACAAUGGGCGAAAGCCUGAUCCAGCCAUGCCGCGUGUGUGAAGAAGGUCUUCGGAUUGUAAAGCACUUUAAGUUGGGAGGAAGGGCAGUAAAUUAAUACUUUGCUGUUUUGACGUUACCGACAGAAUAAGCACCGGCUAACUCUGUGCCAGCAGCCGCGGUAAUACAGAGGGUGCAAGCGUUAAUCGGAAUUACUGGGCGUAAAGCGCGCGUAGGUGGUUCGUUAAGUUGGAUGUGAAAUCCCCGGGCUCAACCUGGGAACUGCAUUCAAAACUGACGAGCUAGAGUAUGGUAGAGGGUGGUGGAAUUUCCUGUGUAGCGGUGAAAUGCGUAGAUAUAGGAAGGAACACCAGUGGCGAAGGCGACCACCUGGACUGAUACUGACACUGAGGUGCGAAAGCGUGGG